rnacentral:tRNA from 1 species
CAAAUGUGGUGUAACGGUUAGCACUCAAAACUCUGAAUCUUUCGAUCCGAGUUCAAUCCUCGGUAGA